GCUGGGUGUGGUGGUGCACACCUGUAAUCCCAACAGCUUGGGAGGCUAAGGCAGGAGGAUCGCAAAUUCAAAGCCAGCCCCAGCAAAUUAGUGAGGGCCUAAGCAACUCAACUAGACCCUGUCUCUAAGAUAUAAGCAGAAAGGCUGGGGAUGUGGUUUAGGGAUUGAGUGAUCCUCCUGCCUCAG
rnacentral:sRNA from 1 species